CCGGAAUUAUUGGGCGUAAAGAGCUCGUAGGCGGUCUGUCGCGUCGGAUGUGAAAACCCAGGGCUCAACCCUGGGCCUGCAUUCGAUACGGGCAGACUAGAGUUCGGUAGGGGAGACUGGAAUUCCUGGUGUAGCGGUGAAAUGCGCAGAUAUCAGGAGGAACACCGGUGGCGAAGGCGGGUCUCUGGGCCGAAACUGACGCUGAGGAGCGAAAGCGUGGGGAGCAAACAGG
rnacentral:rRNA from 1 species